CACCCGCGCCCACGAGUGGGAACCGCAUUAUUGGGUCUAAAGCGUCCGUAGCCGGCUCUGUAGAUCUUCUGUGAAAUUGUGUCGCUUAACGAUACAGCGGGCAGGAACGACCGCAGAGCUUGGAACCAGGAGAGGUUUGAAGUAUUCUUGGGGGAGCGGUAAAAUGUUAUAAUCCCAAGAGGACUACCGAUGGCGAAGGCAUCAAACCAGAAUGGGUUCGACGGUGAGGGACGAAAGCCAGGGGAGCGAUCCGGAUUAGAAACCCCUGUAGU
rnacentral:rRNA from 1 species